GGGAAGCCUACCUCAAGAUAAGAUUUCCCUAGGACUUUAUGUCCUCUAAAGAGCCGUUCGAGACUAGGACGUUGAUAGGUUGGAUGUGGAAGCAUAGUGAUAUGUGAAGCUGACCAAUACUAAUUGCUCGUGAGGCUUGACUAU
rnacentral:rRNA from 1 species